AGAGUUUGAUCCUGGCUCAGGAUGAACGCUAGCGGCAGGCCUAACACAUGCAAGUCGAACGGUAAGGACCACUUCGGUGGUUACACGAGUGGCGCACGGGUGAGUAACGCGUAUGCAACCUACCCUUAACAGGGGGAUAGCCCGAAGAAAUUCGGAUUAAUACCCCAUAAUACUAUAAAUAAGCAUUUAUUAAUAGUAAAAACUCCGGUGGUUAAGGAUGGGCAUGCGUACCAUUAGAUAGUUGGUAAGGUAACGGCUUACCAAGUCUACGAUGGUUAGGGGGCCUGAGAGGGUGGUCCCCCACACUGGUACUGAGACACGGACCAGACUCCUACGGGAGGCAGCAGUGAGGAAUAUUGCGCAAUGGACGAAAGUCUGACGCAGCCAUGCCGCGUGCAGGAUGACGGCCCUACGGGUUGUAAACUGCUUUUAUACAGGAAGAAAACUUUCAACGUGUUGAGAGUUGACGGUACUGUAAGAAUAAGCAUCGGCUAACUCCGUGCCAGCAGCCGCGGUAAUACGGAGGAUGCAAGCGUUAUCCGGAUUUAUUGGGUUUAAAGGGUGCGUAGGCGGAAUAAUAAGUCAGUGGUGAAAUCCUGCAGCUUAACUGUAGAACUGCCAUUGAUACUGUUAUUCUUGAAUAUAGUUGAGGUAGGCGGAAUGUGUAAUGUAGCGGUGAAAUGCAUAGAUAUUACACAGAACACCGAUUGCGUAGGCAGCUUACUAAGCUAUUAUUGACGCUGAGGCACGAAAGCGUGGGGAUCGAACAGGAUUAGAUACCCUGGUAGUCCACGCUGUAAACGAUGAUCACUAGCUGUUGGCGAUACACCGAUCAGCGGCAAAGCGAAAGCAUUAAGUGAUCCACCUGGGGAGUACGGUCGCAAGAUUGAAACUCAAAGGAAUUGACGGGGGCCCGCACAAGCGGAGGAACAUGUGGUUUAAUUCGAUGAUACGCGAGGAACCUUACCUGGGCUUAAAUGCAGGACGACGAACUGGGAAACCAGUUUUCUCUUCGGAGUGGACUGCAAGGUGCUGCAUGGUUGUCGUCAGCUCGUGCCGUGAGGUGUCGGGUUAAGUCCCAUAACGAGCGCAACCCCUAUCGUUAGUUGCCAGCGGAUAAUGCCGGGGACUCUAACGAAACUGCCGGUGUAAACCGAGAGGAAGGUGGGGAUGACGUCAAAUCAGCACGGCCCUUAUGUCCAGGGCUACACACGUGUUACAAUGGUCGGUACAGAGGGUAGCUACUAUGUAAAUAGAUGCCAAUCUCGAAAACCGGUCUUAGUUCGGAUCGAAGUCUGCAACUCGACUUCGUGAAGCUGGAUUCGCUAGUAAUCGCGCAUCAGCCACGGCGCGGUGAAUACGUUCCCGGGCCUUGUACGCACCGCCCGUCAAGCCAUGGAAGCUGGGGGUACCUGAAGUCUGUAACCGCAAGGAGCGGCCUAGGGUAAAACUAGUGACUGGGGCUAAGUCGUAACAAGGUA
rnacentral:rRNA from 1 species